UAUCUUAUAGUUUAUUAGAAUAAUAAAUUGCAAAUUUAUAGGAAAUCAAAUUUGAGAUAU
rnacentral:tRNA from 1 species